rnacentral:tRNA from 1 species
GGAGGGUACAGCUCAGUGGUAGAGCGCAUGCCUAGCAUGCACAAGGUCCUGGGUUCGAUCCCAGGACCUCCA